rnacentral:rRNA from 1 species
AUUGAACGCUGGCGGCGUGCCUAAUACAUGCAAGUCGGACGAAGUGACGCACGGUUGAGUAAUAUAUAGUUAAUCUGCCCUACACAGAGGCACACCAGUUGGAAACUGCUGCUAAUACCUCAUAGUGUAGGAGGAGACUAUCUCGUAUCAGCUAGUUGGUAAGGUUAUGGCUUACCAAGGCUAUGACGCGUAACUGGUCGUAGAGGAUGAUCAGGCACAUGGGAAAUGAGACACGGUCCAAACUCCUACGGGAGGCAGCAGUAAGGAAUAGUGCGCAAUGGGGGAAACCCUUACGAAGCAACGUCGCGUGGAGGAUGACACUUUUCGGAGCGUAAACUCAUUUUAUCAGGAACGCGGUACCUGAUGAAUAAGCACCGGCUAACUCCGUGCCAGCAGCCGCGGGAAUUC